GAUGAACGCUGGCGGCGUGCCUAAUACAUGCAAGUCGAGCGAACAGACGAGGAGCUUGCUCCUCUGACGUUAGCGGCGGACGGGUGAGUAACACGUGGAUAACCUACCUAUAAGACUGGGAUAACUUCGGGAAACCGGAGCUAAUACCGGAUAAUAUAUUGAACCGCAUGGUUCAAUAGUGAAAGACGGUUUUGCUGUCACUUAUAGAUGGAUCCGCGCCGCAUUAGAUAGUUGGUAAGGUAACGGCUUACCAAGGCAACGAUGCGUAGCCGACCUGAGAGAGUGAUCGGCCACACUGGAACUGAGACACGGUCCAGACUCCUACGGGAGGCAGCAGUAGGGAAUCUUCCGCAAUGGGCGAAAGCCUGACGGAGCAACGCCGCGUGAGUGAUGAAGGUCUUCGGAUCGUAAAACUCUGUUAUUAGGGAAGAACAAAUGUGUAAGUAACUAUGCACGUCUUGACGGUACCUAAUCAGAAAGCCACGGCUAACUACGUG
rnacentral:rRNA from 1 species